rnacentral:misc_RNA from 1 species
AGCUUAUAAAACGUGACCGGGAAGUUUCUUACUCCAUGAAAUACACUAUACAAACCAACAACAGAACCUUUGCAUAAUUUCAAAGCUGAUGUAGAAGCGACAUUCUUGAACACCUUAUGCAAACGCAUUCCAAUUUCUUUUAUUACAUCGUCUGAAUAAAAAAAUAAGAUGUGAACAACUUCUAUAGACAAGAGAUUCUCUAUGAUCAUAUCCUUUGCCAAUGGAGCACCAUAUUUCAAGACCUUGAGAUUCGGGCAAGAAAUCUUGACGAUACAAUUGUUG